GCCGGGGUGAUGUAGCUUGGCAGCAUAGAGGCCUGUGGAGCCUUUCGCCAGGGUUCAAAUCCCUGCCCCGGCCCCA
rnacentral:tRNA from 2 species